CUGUGGACUCCUGUUCAGCCUUCACAAACUCCUUGAGCAUCUUGUUUGUACACUCAACAAAGGCUAUGUAGUGCUUCUCAACCUCUGCAUGCCACCUGGCUAACCAUGUAGCAGUCCCCUGUGACUCCUUGAUUCAGUGCCUCACCAUGGGCAAACGCUGGCAGUGGGUACAUCUGUUUGUCCUCCUUUCAUUGUCUGGCUUCUGUGACCCAUUUUCAGGUAUCAGGGAGGAAGGAAAAACAUAAGGAAAGAAGAACAGUAGUACAAGGUUUUCUCACUAUUACCCUGAUAGUGAGGAGAACUCCCCAACAAAAGUGUCAACUUGCAAGUCCAUCCAUCCAGGGGAUAGUCUAAUUCCCUGGCUGAUUCUCAACAUGGAUGCUAUGGCACCAUGGAUGAUGUCAUUCUGAUCCAUCUGACCCCAUAACAGAAAUAUCAUCUGUUCAUUGCUGCAUGAAGCACUCCAUUCUCAUCUCCUACUGCAAGAGAUGGUGGAUCUUGGUGACUUGGACUCCUGGAGAAGAUGAGCAAGCUACAAUGGGUCACCAGUGCACUGUCUCUUUCCUGGACCUCACUAGUCAUUAUGAUCACCUUGCACAGUCCAGUUGGGGCUAUAAGGGGCAUGAUAAAUCUGUGUCUAGUUUAAGUGUCAACAAACAAUUCAAAGGGGGACCAGAGGAAUCUCAAAUUGACUUUCAGGGACAUAAUUUAGGGGAGUUUGGGACAGUACAACCAAUGCUUUAGCCACUUCAGAGAAACUUGAAAUGCCACGGUGGUCUGCACCAACUACCAAGUGUCAGGCCUGAUGAUCUAAAAGCUUCUUUUUCACCUUUGUUGGCUCACUGGCUUGCAAUGACUUGCUUAUAAUAAAGUGUCUUUAUCUGUGA